UUGAAGAAAAGAAAAAAGCCUUAGACCAGCCCACAACUACCCCGAAAUAGCCUUGGUACCCCAACCCCGACUCUCUCUUUCCACAACUCCACAGCUACACCGACCCCGACUCAUUCCACAGCUACCCCAACUCUAAAGCCCUAAACCCUAAAUCCACCACCUCCGAAGCCCCGACUUUUUGGUACCAAUCCCCGCCUCCGAAGCCCUAAAUCUGAGAUUCGUCUUCGAAUCUGGUUAGUUCUCGUCCUCUCGAAUCUGGUUUUGAUUAAUUGAAGGUUUUCGAGUUCUUCACUUUUGAUUUCUGGUUCUUCACAAAUCACAUAAUCCAAGGCGACCUCUCUUUAUAUGAGCUGAAGAACCCGAAGUUCAAGCUCUUUCGACCUCAUGAACGGGUUAAGAGGAUCGAGUCGGUGCCUAGCACAGAUGACGAAGAACCCCAUUGCAGCAGUCCAGCUCCAAAGCUGAUUCUCUCCCGAAAGGUUCUUGUGGGAGAGAGUUGGAUUGUAUGUUAAAGUGUGCACAAGAAGAUGGGUUUGGCUCCAGUUUGAUGCAAGUUCCCGGAGAUUCUUGAUCUGGGUAUGUUUAAAUUUAGAUACUUGAAGUCAAUUUUGGUUUUACUGGUUUGUUUUUAGCUUCAUUUGCCUAUCUUUCAUUUGUUCAAGAAAGGAAGUUUAAGGUGGUCAUACUGAAAAGGAUCACAAUUUGGUGUUAACGUGGUUUCCCCUUCUUGUAAAAGUAGUUUUGUUUUGCUAUUUAUUUGAGUAUCUCUGUUCUUUUAAGUUAUUUGGACUUCUAUAAUUGUCUGCACUUCAUAAGAGGAGUACAAAAGUCAAGUUGAUUCAAGGCUUUAUUUAUGUGUGUGGGAGGAAUGGCGUUGACGAGGUACCAGAUACGGAAUGAGUACGGCUUGGCCGAUCCGGAGCUCUACAAAGCCGUGGAUAGAGAUGAUCCAGAGGCCUUACUGGAAGGUGUCGCCAUGCUCGGACUCGUAGGCGUCUUGCGCCAGCUCGGCGACCUUGCAGAGUGUUUCAACAAUAGGAGCUAUUAUUAUCACUGCUUCUUACCAAGUUGCUUGCUGGCUAGCUUGUUCCAGUUGAUGCUGCUGUAAGUUCAAACAUGAUGGAUAAUCAGUGCGGGGUUACAACAAUUGCAGGGGGGAAAUUGGACCAAGUGAAGAUGAGAGCAUAUAACUUUUGCUCAUACUAAUUUGAUGCUGUGAGUAUGCUCGCUAUGAAUAUAGGGAGAAGUGGAAAACCUAUCUUUAAAAAGCACAUUUCUGGCCAAGUUUGUCGUGGUGGUUUUGUUCUAAAAACAAUGAUCCAGGUUUGAAGGCUGCUUAUAAACUGGACAAUCAUGUGGAAGAUGGAGCAGUGACGAAAGCUUUUGAAGUGAUAGAGAGAAAUUUGUUUAGCUAGAAGUUGUACUGAGGCUAGAAGUUGGUCUUUUUUGGGUUGGCCUUAAUUGCAGUUCUCCUAUAGAUGUGAUUAUGUGACAUUUUUAGGUACAUUUCUGGAUGUAUUUUGCUAUAAGAGUUUCAAAGAUGUGAUCCCUUAUUUUGUGGAUACAAUUAGCAUUAUCGGAUCCAUUUAGAUUGCUAUGGGAUUAUAACAGCUUUCUAUUAUGAUUAAAUUACUAUUCUUUUGGUCA